GAUGAAGAACGUAGCGAAAUGCGAUAAGUAAUGUGAAUUGCAGAAUUCAGUGAAUCAUCGAAUCUUUGAACGCACCUUGCGCCCUUUGGCCAUUCCGAAGGGCAUGCCUGUUUGAGUAUCAUGAACACCUCAACUCUUUAUGGUUUUCCAUGAUGAGCUUGGACUUUGGGGGUUUUGCUGGCCUAUGGUCGGCUCCUCUAAAAUAAAUCAGCUUACCAGUGUUUGGUGGGUAUCAUGGGUGUGAUAACUAUCUACGCUUGUGGUUUUUCCGCCAGGUAACCUUCGACAGCGGAGGUUCACUGGAGCUCAUAGAUGUCUCUCCUCAGCGAGGACAGCCCUUUGAAUGUUUGAUCUUAAAUCAGGUAGGACUACCCGCUGAACUUAAGCAUAUCAAUAAGCGGAGGA
rnacentral:misc_RNA from 1 species